ensembl:misc_RNA Metazoa_SRP Metazoan signal recognition particle RNA
GCUGGAUGUGGUGGCGGGCACCUGUAGUCCCAGACACUUGGGAGGCUGAGGUGGGAGGAUCACUUGAGUCCUGGAGCACUGGGCUGCAGUCUGCUAUGCUGAUUGGGUGUCUGCAUUAAGCUGGGCAUCAACACGGUGAUCUCCUAGGAGCAAGGGACCACCAAGUUCCCUAAGAAGGGAUGAACCAGCCCAGGUCAGAAAGGGGACAGGUCAUAAAUUGUGUUCAAAAGGGGGAGCAUUUUGAGUGGAGAUAAAUGGUAGUAUGUCUUUUACUGUGUUAAUUCUU